GAAAGUCAAAGCCAAAAACGUUCAUUGCACUCAGUAUCAGAAGAACGCACAGAUGAAAUGACACAUAAAGAAACAAAUGAGCAGGAAGAAAGAUUGCUCGCCACAGCUUCCUUCACUAAAUCAUCCCGCAGCAGCAGGACUCGGUCUAGCAAGGCCAUCUUGUUGCCGGACCUUUCUGAACCAAACAAUGAGCCUUUAUUUUCUCCAGCGUCAGAAGUUCCAAGGAAAGCAAAAGAAAGAUGAUGCACAAUCAGUAGAAACUCUGGGAAAGCCAAAAGCGAAACGAAUCAGGACGUCAAAAACAAAACAAGCAAGCAAAAACACAGAAAAAGAAAGUGCUUGGUCACCUCCUCCC
rnacentral:lncRNA from 1 species